UGGGGGAUAUUGCACAAUGGGCGAAAGCCUGAUGCAGCGACGCCGCGUGGGCGAUGAAGGCCUUCGGGUUGUAAACUUCUUUUGCUCUGAACAAGGCAUGCUAAUGGGUGUGUUGCGUGUAGGGGUUGAUUAGCGCCGGCUAACUACGUGCCAGCAGCCGCGGUAAUACGUAGGGCGCGAGCGUUGUCCGGAAUUAUUGGGCGUAAAGGGCUUGUAGGUGGCUGGUUGCGUCUGUCGUGAAAGCUCAUGGCUUAACUGUGGGUUUGCGGUGGGUACGGGCUGGCUUGAGUGCAGUAGGGGAGGCUGGAAUUCCUGGUGUAGCGGUGGAAUGCGCAGAUAUCAGGAGGAAUACCGGUGGCGAAGGCGGGUCUCUGGGCUGUUACUGACACUGAGGAGCGAAAGCAUGGGGAGCGAGCAGG
rnacentral:rRNA from 1 species